ACAGCUCAGUCAGUAGAGCAUGAGACUCUUAAUCUCAGGGUCAUAGGUUUGAGCCACAUGUUGGGCA